UUGUCCCUACGGGAGGCAGCAGUGAGGAAUAUUGGUCAAUGGGCUUACGCCUGAACCAGCCAAGUCGCGUGAGGGAAGACCGCCCUAUGGGUUGUAAACCUCUUUUGUCAGGGAGCAACGCCGGCUACGUGUAGCCGGACUGAGAGUACCUGAAGAAAAAGCAUCGGCUAACUCCGUGCCAGCAGCCGCGGUAAUACGGAGGAUGCGAGCUUUAUCCGGAUUUAUUGGGUUUAGAGGUUGCGUAGUCGGAAUGCCAAGUCAGCGGUAAAAUCGCGUGGCUCAACCUCGCUCCGCCGU
rnacentral:rRNA from 1 species